rnacentral:rRNA from 1 species
GAUGAACGCUGGCGGCGUGCCUAAUACAUGCAAGUCGAGCGAACAGAUAAGGAGCUUGCUCCUUUGAAGUUAGCGGCGGACGGGUGAGUAACACGUGGGUAACCUACCUAUAAGACUGGGAUAACUUCGGGAAACCGGAGCUAAUACCGGAUAACAUUUAGAACCGCAUGGUUCUAAAGUGAAAGAUGGUUUUGCUAUCACUUAUAGAUGGACCCGCGCCGUAUUAGCUAGUUGGUAAGGUAACGGCGUACCAAGGCGACGAUACGUAGCCGACCUGAGAGGGUGAUCGGCCACACUGGAACUGAGACACGGUCCAGACUCCUACGGGAGGCAGCAGGAGGGAAUCUUCCGCAAUGGGCGAAAGCCUGACGGAGCAACGCCGCGUGAGUGAUGAAGGGUUUCGGCUCGUAAAACUCUGUUAUUAGGGAAGAACAAAUGUGUAAGUAACUGUGCACAUCUUGACGGUACCUAAUCAGAAAGCCACGGCUAACUACGUGCCAGCCGCCGCCGUAAAAC